rnacentral:rRNA from 1 species
CCUACGGGUGGCUGCAGUGGGGAAUAUUGGACAAUGGGGGGAACCCUGAUCCAGCGACGCCGCGUGAGUGAAGAAGUAUUUCGGUAUGUAAAGCUCUAUCAGCAGGGAAGAAAGAAAUGACGGUACCUGACUAAGAAGCCCCGGCUAACUACGUGCCAGCAGCCGCGGUAAUCCGUAGGGGGCACGCGUUAUCCGGAUUUACUGUGUGUAAAGGGAGCGUAGACGGUUACGCAAGUCUGGAGUGAAAUGCAGCGGCCCAACCCCCGGACUGCUUUGGAAACUAGAUAACUGGAGUGCAGGAGAGGUAAGUGGAAUUCCUAGUGUAGCGGUGAAAUGCGUAGAGAUUAGGAGGAACACCAGUGGCGAAGGCGGCUUACUGGACUGUAUCUGACGUUGAGGCUCGAAAGCGUGGGGAGCAAACAGGAUUAGAUACCCCAGUAGUC